GAUCAUGGCUCAGGAUAGAACGCUAGCGGCAGGCUUAAUACAUGCAAGUCGUGGGGCAGCAGGUUUGUAGCAAUACAGAUGCUGGCGACCGGCAAACGGGUGCGGAACACGUACAGAACCUUCCUUUGAGCGGGGAAUAGCCCAGAGAAAUUUGGAUUAAUACCCCAUAGUAUAAUGAAGUGGCAUCACUUUAUUAUUAAAGAUUUAUCACUCGAAGAUGGCUGUGCGGCUGAUUAGGUAGUUGGCGGGGUAAAGGCCCACCAAGCCUGCGAUCAGUAACUGGUGUGAGAGCACGACCAGUCACACGGGCACUGAGACACGGGCCCGACUCCUACGGGAGGCAGCAGUAAGGAAUAUUGGUCAAUGGAGGCAACUCUGAACCAGCCAUGCCGCGUGGAGGAUGAAGGUCCUCUGGAUUGUAAACUUCUUUAUAUGGGACGAAAAAAGGCUUUUCUAAGUCGUCUGACGGUACCAUAUGAAUAAGCACCCGGCUAACUCCGUG
rnacentral:rRNA from 1 species